rnacentral:rRNA from 1 species
AUACCGGAUAACAACCAAAACCACCUGGUUUUGGUUUAAAAGACGGCUUCGGCUGUCACUUUAGGAUGGACCCGCGGCGUAUUAGCUUGUUGGUAAGGUAACGGCCUACCAAGGCGAUGAUACGUAGCCGACCUGAGAGGGUAAUCGGCCACAUUGGGACUGAGACACGGCCCAAACUCCUACGGGAGGCAGCAGUAGGGAAUCUUCCACAAUGGACGAAAGUCUGAUGGAGCAACGCCGCGUGAGUGAUGAAGGGUUUCGGCUCGUAAAACUCUGUUGUUGGAGAAGAACAGGUGUCAGAGUAACUGUUGACAUCUUGACGGUAUCCAACCAGAAAGCCACGGCUAACUACGUGCCAGCAGCCGCGGUAAUACGUAGGUGGCAAGCGUUGUCCGGAUUUAUUGGGCGUAAAGCGAGCGCAGGCGGUUUUUUAGGUCUGAUGUGAAAGCCUUCGGCUUAACCGGAGAAGUGCAUCGGAAACCGGGAGACUUGAGUGCAGAAGAGGACAGUGGAACUCCAUGUGUAGCGGUGAAAUGCGUAGAUAUAUGGAAGAACACCAGUGGCGAAGGCGGCUGUCUGGUCUGUAACUGACGCUGAGGCUCGAAAGCAUGGGUAGCGAACAGGAUUAGAUACCCUGGUAGUCCAUGCCGUAAACGAUGAGU